CCUACGGGCGACAGCAGUGAGGAAUAUUGGUCAAUGGCCGGAAGGCUGAACCAGCCAAGCCGCGUGAAGGACGAAGGUCCCAAGCAUUGUAAACCUCUUUUGUCAAGGGACAAGAUCAGCCUCGAGAGCCUGACCGAGGGUACUUGAAGAAAAAGCAUCGGCUAACUCCGUGCCAGCAGCCGCGGUAAUACGGAGGAGGCAAGCGUUGUCCGGAUUUACUGGGUGUAAAGGGCGUGUAGCCGGGCUGACAAGUCAGAUGUGAAAUCCGGGGGCGCAAACCCCGAACUGCAUUUGAAACUGUUGGUCUUGAGUAUCGGAGAGGCAGGCGGAAUGCCUAGUGUAGCGGUGAAAUGCAUAGAUAUUAGGCGGAACACCAGUGGCGAAGGCAGCCUGCUGGACGACAACUGACGGUGAUGCGCGAAAGCGUGGGGAGCGAACAGGAUUAGAUACCCCUGUAGUC
rnacentral:rRNA from 1 species